rnacentral:snoRNA from 1 species
CCUCUCUCAGGGUCACACCUGGAGAGUUCCCAGUACUCUACCAGUCUCGACUACAGGAAGGAGAGUGAGGCAGAGGCCUACCCAUUCCAUUCCUAGCUAGGGCAGUGGCUAGCAAGUGGAAGGCAAUCUACUACAAGU